AUUGAACGCUGGCGGCAUGCUUUACACAUGCAAGUCGAACGGUAACAGGCCGCAAGGUGCUGACGAGUGGCGAACGGGUGAGUAAUGCAUCGGAACGUGCCCAGUCGUGGGGGAUAACGCAGCGAAAGCUGCGCUAAUACCGCAUACGAUCUAUGGAUGAAAGCGGGGGACCGGAAGGCCUGGCGCGAUUGGAGCGGCCGCGGUAAGAUUAGUUAGUUGGUGAGGUAAAUGCUCACCAAGCCAACGAUCUGUAGCUCGUCUGAGAGGACGACCAGCCACACUGGGACUGAGACACGGCCCAGACUCCUACGGGAGGCAGCAGUGGGGAAUUUUAGACAAUGGGCGCAAGCCUGAUCCAGCAAUGCCGCGUGCAGGAAGAAGGCCUUCGGGUUGUAAACUGCUUUUGUACGGAACGAAAAGGCUCUGGAUAAUACCUGGGGCUCAUGACGGUACCGUAAGAAUAAGCACCGGCUAACUACGUGCCAGCCGCCGCGGUAACAC
rnacentral:rRNA from 1 species